AUUGAACGCUGGCGGCAGGCCUAACACAUGCAAGUCGAACGAGUGGCGGACGGGUGAGUAAUGUCUGGGAAACUGCCUGAUGGAGGGGGAUAACUACUGGAAACGGUAGCUAAUACCGCAUACCAUCGGAUGUGCCCAGAUGGGAUUAGCUAGUAGGUGGGGCAACGGCUCACCUAGGCGCCGAUACCUAGCUGGUCUGAGAGGAGGACCAGCCACCCGGGAACUGAGCCAAGGUCCAGACUCCUACGGGAGUCAGCAGGGGGGAAUAUUGCACAAUGGGCGCAAGCCGGAUGCAGCAAUGCCGCGUGUAUGAAGAAGGCCUUCGGGUUGUAAAGUACUUUCAGCGGGGCGGCGUUACCCGCAGAAGAAGCACCGGCUAACUCCGUGCCAGCAGCCGCGGUAAUAC
rnacentral:rRNA from 1 species